rnacentral:rRNA from 1 species
UUUGUAGAGGAUGCUUUUGGUGAGGUGCCGCCCGAGUUCCCUGGAACGGGACGCCACAGAGGGUGAGAGCCCCGUCUGGCUGGCCACCGAGCCUCUGUAAAGCUCCUUCGACGAGUCGAGUAGUUUGGGAAUGCUGCUCAAAAUGGGAGGUAUAUGUCUUCUAAAGCUAAAUAUUGGCCAGAGACCGAUAGCGCACAAGUAGAGUGAUCGAAAGAUGAAAAGCACCUUGAAAAGAGGGUUAAACAGUACGUGAAAUUGUUGAAAGGGAAGCGCUUNUGACCNGACUUGGGCGCGGAGAAUCAUC